rnacentral:rRNA from 1 species
UACAGAGGUCUCGAGCGUUGUUCGGAUUCAUUGGGCGUAAAGGGUGCGUAGGCGGCGGGGUAAGUCUGAUGUGAAAUCCCGGGGCUCAACCCUGCGUCGGCCAUGAAUACUGCCGCGGCUGGAGCACUGUAGAGGCAGGCGGAAUUCCGGGUGUAGCGGUGGAAUGCGUAGAGAUCCGGAAGAACACCGGUGGCGAAGGCGGCCUGCUGGGCAGUUGCUGACACUGAGGCGCGACGAGCGUGGGGAGCAAA